CGUGCGCCUCCCGUCUCUAUAUUCUUCCUGCCUCUUCUCAAAGCAGCAGUUGCACUCUUUCUUUCUUUCUCCCAAACGCACAGCCACUCCCUCUGCCCUCUCUCCACUCUUCAACCGAAGGUCUCCCAUGGUGCAGCACCGAAGAAGAUCCAUCACAAGGGGAAUCAACCGGCGAUCAAGAGCAUGAACAGUACACACCGGCCAGGAAGAGAAAGCCAAGCGUUGCACAUCAGGAAGAGAAGGAUUGCAGAAGGCUUCAUCUGAACGACUACAGCAGCCACCAAUUUCGUCUCUCCUCUCUGAUCUACUUCUGUUCCUCAAAUUGACCUCGCCGGCCGCUGCUCCGCCGCCCGCGCGCGACCUACUCCACCACUGCUGACCUCGCUGGUCGAUGCUCCUCCAUAAGCGUGCGGCCACUUCGUUGGCCUCGACCUUGCCGCUGCCCUCGUCGGCCUCCGCCGCUGUCCGCCAAGGUGGGGAAGAGGAUGGGGAUGAGUGCGCGAGAGAGAAACAAGCCAGCGAGAGAGAUUGAAGAGGCACCCGCCCUGCGUGAGCCGUGUGAGUCGGCCAAUUCCAUCAGCUCACGCGGACCGCCGUUUUGGGCAAUUUUUGGCUCGCUGGUGACCCCGACCCCCAAUCCCAACACACCCCAAUUGAGUCAUAGUUGCCGUGUAAGAAAAAUCGAGGACGUUUCGUGACGUUCGAAAAAUCAUGUGCCUCCACAGAAUAGGAUCAAAAAAAAUUCCCAUUGUACUAUAUGAAUCUCAAACAUGACUGGCUGAUUUUUUUUCGUGUUU